rnacentral:snRNA from 1 species
AUGUUGGUGUUUAUGGCAUCUGUCACCCCAUUGAUUGCCAGGACUGAUUUGGCGGAUCUGCCUGUCUAGGCAGGUGUCCCCUUCCCCUGCAUCGCUGUAUGUAUGUCCUUCCAGAAAUGGUGUGAUUUGACAAAAAGGAGAGUGUCCCCUUAGUGCUGAAGAAACCAUCUUAGGUCAAAGGUUAAACUACUAGCUCUGCUCCCCUGACUGAACCUCCAGAUAAGUUCCCCAAAAUAUAUAAUGUUACAGUUGCUCUAGAUUUGAGGGCUAUGAAACUCGCCUGGUUUUUAAUGAAUUUAAAAUAAUUUGUCUUU